AACUUGCCUGUGUGAACUUUAUAUAAAUUUAAUCAUACUGUUGGAGAAGGCACUGGCAACCCACUCCAGUACUCUUGCCUGGAAAAUCCCAUGGACAGAGGAGCCUGGUAGGCUGCAGUCCAUGGGGUCGCUAAGAGUCAGACACGACUGAGCGACUUCACUUUCACUUUUCACUUUCAUGCAUUGGAGAAGGAAAUGGCAACCCACUUCAGUGUUCUUGCCUGGAGAAUCCCAGGGACAGUGGAGCCUGGUAGGCUGCCGUCUAUGGGCAGAUGCACAGAGUCGGACACCACUGACGCGACUUAGCAGCAGCAGCAAUCAUACUUAGGACAUGAAGAUUUCCAUGCUCCUUACCUUUGCCAGUGGUAGCAGUUGAUUGCCUUUGUCAUGUGUGGGUGUUAAAACAGCCAAGUAUGUGGGAGCUUCAUUUCAUGCCGCUCUUCUUGCACUCUAUUGUGCUAAAACAGCAAGCUUGUCAAGAAUGGAGACGUUGCCGUGAUAUAUGCAGAGUCUAUGGGAGACAUUUUCUCUAUGGGUUAACGAGGAUUGAAGAAACGCUUCCUUUGAAUGGCUUUCAAUCCAGUCAAAUCUGGCACAUUUGUUGUGAUCAACUCAUGCACUCUGUGCAGUUCAAUACCCAGUACCCAUGUGAUUACCUAUCCAUCAGAAAACUCCCUCUUCUUUAAAGAUUUCAAUGUGUAUUUGAGUUAGAAAAGCAAAAAUAAAAUAAGAUUAAGAGAAAACUAAA
ensembl:lncRNA